AGUGAACGCUGGCGGUAGGCCUAACACAUGCAAGUCGAACGGCAGCACAGGAGAGCUUGCUCUCUGGGUGGCGAGUGGCGGACGGGUGAGGAAUACAUCGGAAUCUACUCUGUCGUGGGGGAUAACGUAGGGAAACUUACGCUAAUACCGCAUACGACCUACGGGUGAAAGCAGGGGACCUUCGGGCCUUGCGCGAUUGAAUGAGCCGAUGUCGGAUUAGCUAGUUGGCGGGGUAAAGGCCCACCAAGGCGACGAUCCGUAGCUGGUCUGAGAGGAUGAUCAGCCACACUGGAACUGUGACCCGGUCCAGACUCCUACGGGAGGCAGCAGUGGGGAAUAUUGGACAAUGGGCGCAAGCCUGAUCCAGCCAUACCGCGUGGGUGAAGAAGGCCUUCGGGUUGUAAAGCUCUUUUGUUGGGAAAGAAAUCCAGCUGGCUAAUACCCGGUUGGGAUGACGGUACCCAAAGAAUAAGCACCGGCUAACUUCGUGCCAGCCGCCGCGGUAA
rnacentral:rRNA from 1 species